rnacentral:rRNA from 1 species
CCUACGGGUGGCAGCAGUGGGGAAUAUUGCGCAAUGGGCGAAAGCCUGACGCAGCGACGCCGCGUGAGGGAUGAAGGUCUUCGGAUCGUAAACCUCUGUCAGCAGGGAAGAACGGUCACUGAUCUAAUCAGCAGUGAAUUGACGGUACCUGCAAAGGAAGCACCGGCUAACUCCGUGCCAGCAGCCGCGGUAAUACGGAGGGUGCGAGCGUUAAUCGGAAUUACUGGGCGUAAAGCGCUCGUAGGCGGUAUGUCAAGUCAAGGGUGAAAUCCCCGCGCUCAACGUGGGAACUGCCUUUGAAACUGGCAAACUGGAGUGUGUGAGAGGAUAGUGGAAUUCGAGGUGUAGGAGUGAAAUCCGUAGAUAUCUGGAGGAACAUCAGUGGCGAAGGCGACUAUCUGGAACAUAACUGACGCUGAGGAGCGAAAGCGUGGGUAGCAAACAGGAUUAGAUACCCCGGUAGUG